AUUGAACGCUGGCGGCAUGCCUUACACAUGCAAGUCGAACGGUAACGCGGGGGCAACCCUGGCGACGAGUGGCGAACGGGUGAGUAAUACAUCGGAACAUAUCCAGUAGCGGGGGAUAACCUAUCGAAAGAUUGGCUAAUACCGCAUACGAUCUACGGAUGAAAGCAGGGGACCGCAAGGCCUUGCACUAUUGGAGUGGCCGAUGUCAGAUUAGCUAGUUGGUGGGGUAAAAGCCUACCAAGGCGACGAUCUGUAGCUGGUCUGAGAGGACGAUCAGCCACACUGGAACUGAGACACGGUCCAGACUCCUACGGGAGGCAGCAGUGGGGAAUUUUGGACAAUGGGCGCAAGCCUGAUCCAGCCAUGCCGCGUGAGUGAAGAAGGCC
rnacentral:rRNA from 1 species